UGGGGGAUAUUGCGCAAUGGGGGAAACCCUGACGCAGCAACGCCGCGUGAAGGAUGAAGGUUUUCGGAUCGUAAACUUCUUUAAGUGGGGAAGAAUUUUGACGGUACCCACAGAAUAAGCCACGGCUAACUACGUGCCAGCAGCCGCGGUAAUACGUAGGUGGCAAGCGUUGUCCGGAUUUACUGGGUGUAAAGGGCGUGUAGGCGGGAAGGUAAGUCAGAUGUGAAAUUUCGGGGCUCAACCCCGAACCUGCAUUUGAAACUAUCUUUCUUGAGUGUCGGAGAGGAAAGUGGAAUUCCUAGUGUAGCGGUGAAAUGCGUAGAUAUUAGGAGGAACACCAGUGGCGAAGGCGACUUUCUGGACGAUAACUGACGCUGAGGCGCGAAAGCGUGGGGAGCAAACA
rnacentral:rRNA from 1 species